rnacentral:rRNA from 1 species
CCUACGGGAGGCUGCAGUGGGGAAUAUUGCACAAUGGGCGAAAGCCUGAUGCAGCAACGCCGCGUGAGCGAUGAAGGUCUUCGGGUCGUAAAGCUCUGUCCUCAAGGAAGAUAAUGACGGUACUUGACCACGAAUCCCCGGCUAACUACGUGCCAGCAGCCGCGGUACUACGUAGGGGGCUAGGGUUAUCCGGAAUUACUGUGCGUAAGGGGUGCGUAGGUGGUUUCUUAGGUCAGAGGUGAAAGGCUAGGGCUCAACCGUAGUAAGCCGUUGAAACUGGGAGACUUGAGUGCAGGAGAGGAGAGUGGAAUUCGUAGUGUAGCGGUGAAAUGCGUAGAUAUUGGGAGGAACACCAGUUGCGAAGGCGGCUCGCUGGACUGUAACUGACGCUGAGGCACGAAAGCGUGGGGAUCGAACAGGAUUAGAUACCCGAGUAGUC